CUUUUAGCUGUUAUCUGGUCCUGUGGAUACAUCUGUAAUGGAAGAUAAGAUCAACUUCAACAGCAGCAAUCCAGCCACUUUUCAUCUUUCAAUCCUCGAAUGGCCAAACUGAGAAAGCACCAUGAGGAAUGCUUCAAUCGACAAAAAAUUGCAGAGGAGCAGCGAAAUGCUAAAGAAAGACAACAUACCACCAUUCUGUUAAAGCGUGCACAGCUGGCUCAGAAACUGGCAGAACUGGAUGCUCUUCUGACUUCACAAUCUCCCUUGGAUGAUCCCACUGAAGAGGAGUAUGAUGAUAUUCAAGUAUGUUCACAACAGACUGGGG